UGGGGGAUAUUGCACAAUGGGGGAAACCCUGAUGCAGCGACGCCGCGUGUAGGAAGACGGUCCUCUGGAUUGUAAACUACUGUCUUCGGGGACGAUAAUGACGGUACCCGAGGAGGAAGCUCCGGCUAACUACGUGCCAGCAGCCGCGGUAAUACGGGGGGUGCAAGCGUUGUCCGGAAUCAUUGGGCGUAAAGCGUUCGUAGGCGGUAUGUCAAGUCUGGUGUUAAAGCCCGAGGCUCAACCUCGGUUCGGCAUUGGAUACUGGCAAACUAGAAUGUGGUAGAGGUAAAGGGAAUUCCUGGUGUAGCGGUGAAAUGCGUAGAUAUCAGGAGGAACAUCGGUGGCGAAAGCGCUUUACUGGACCAUUAUUGACGCUGAGGAACGAAAGCCAGGGGAGCAAAUG
rnacentral:rRNA from 1 species